GUGGAUGAGGCAGAUAAGAUUCCCAUUUGACGGGCAGCCAAUUAAUGAAAUAGACACACCUGCACAGUUGGAAAUGGAGGAUGAAGAGACAAUUAAUGUGUUCCAGCAGCAGACAGGAGGUGUCUACUAAAAAGGGAACUUGCUACUUUACUCCAGAACUCUGUUCUUACAGACCAAGAAUACAUUCUCAAUUAGAAAACUGCAAUUGGUUCCACCACAUCCUGACUACUAUAGGAUAGUUUUCUCUCUUCUUUCAUUUUCCCCUUCCCCAUUCCUUUAUUGUACAUAAAGUAAUUGGUGUAUGUGCACAAGAAUAUUGCAUUUUUUUAAACUAAAUGGCCAAUGAUAUGUUUUGAUUGACAUCAAAUGAAGAUGGGAUGGGGAAAAAUACUGGUUCUGUGAAAAUAUCCCCUUUCUCCAUUAGUGGUGUGCUCAUUCAGCCUUAUCUUUAUAUUCCAGUGAGUUAUUUUGCUCUCACUGUUUUAACAAAAAUAAAAAAGAAAAGAAAAACCUGAACACAUAAAAAUCCUUGCACACCUUGUUCAAUUGGAGAAUUUUAAUGUUUUUCAUUUAUCAUUGUAAAACCAAAGACAAUUGAAUAACAUUUUUGGACGUAGCUGUUA
rnacentral:lncRNA from 1 species